CUCCUGGUCUGCGGGUUGCAAAGACUGUGGGAAAAGCACAGUAUCUGGGCUGGAUUGCAAGAUACAGUCCCUAACAGUCCCUAAUGGCUUCCCUUGGCUGGGAGAAGGAGUUCCCCGACCCCUUGCGCUUCCCAGGUGAGGCAACGAACUACCCUGGCUUUGGCUUACCCUCACAGGGCUGCACCCACUGUCCAACCAGUCCCAGUGAGAUGAACCAGGUACCUCAGCUGGAAAUGCAGAAAUCACCCGCCUUCUGUGUCGAUCUCGCUGGGAGCUGCAGACCAGAGCUGUUCCUAUUCAGCCAUCUUGCCAGCAAUCCCAGUUAUGGCUCUUAAUGUCUGUUUUUAGUUUAAAUACGUAGGGAUUUUUGGAGUGUAUCAGUGUAUUUUUUGACACUUCUACUUCCAUAUUUGACUUGUAAAAACAUAACAUGUUGGUAAUAAUUUUUUUUUUCCUCCAGUUUGGCUCUACAGCAUGACCAAAUGGAAUUUAUGCCAGGAAUGCAAGGUUGGUUUAACAGAAAGUUGGCCAGGUGCAGUGGCACAUGCUUAAUUUCAGCACUUUGGGAGGCCAAGGUGGGUGGAUUGCUUAAGCCCAGGAGUUUGAGACUGGCCUGGACAACAUGGCAAAACCCUGACUCUACUAAAAACACAACAUUUAGCAGGGCAUGGUGGUGUGUGCCUGUGGGCCCAGCUACUAUAGAAACUGAGGUAGGAGGAUGGCUUGAGCUCAGGAGGUUGAGGCUGCAGCAAGCCAUGACUGCGCCACUUCCUUCCAGCAUGGGUGACAGAGCAAAACUCUGUCUUAAAACAAAAACAUUUGAAAAUCAGUGUAAUGUACCAUAUUAAUAGAAUAAAGGAUAAAAACCACAUGACUACUUCAGUAGAUGCAAUGUAUGUUUGUUGAGUGUUUUUAUCAUGGAAG
rnacentral:lncRNA from 1 species